UGGGGAAUAUUGGACAAUGGGCGCAAGCCUGAUCCAGCCAUGCCGCGUGAGUGAUGAAGGCCCUAGGGUUGUAAAGCUCUUUCACCGGUGAAGAUAAUGACGGUAACCGGAGAAGAAGCCCCGGCUAACUUCGUGCCAGCAGCCGCGGUAAUACGAAGGGGGCUAGCGUUGUUCGGAUUUACUGGGCGUAAAGCGCACGUAGGCGGACUUUUAAGUCAGGGGUGAAAUCCCGGGGCUCAACCCCGGAACUGCCUUUGAUACUGGAAGUCUUGAGUAUGGUAGAGGUGAGUGGAAUUCCGAGUGUAGAGGUGAAAUUCGUAGAUAUUCGGAGGAACACCAGUGGCGAAGGCGGCUCACUGGACCAUUACUGACGCUGAGGUGCGCAAGCGUGGGGAGCAAACAGG
rnacentral:rRNA from 1 species